CCUACGGGAGGCAGCAGUAGGGAAUCUUCCACAAUGGACGAAAGUCUGAUGGAGCAACGCCGCGUGAGUGAAGAAGGGUUUCGGCUCGUAAAACUCUGUUGUUAAAGAAGAACAUAUCUGAGAGUAACUGUUCAGGUAUUGACGGUAUUUAACCAGAAAGCCACGGCUAACUACGUGCCAGCAGCCGCGGUAAUACGUAGGUGGCAAGCGUUGUCCGGAUUUAUUGGGCGUAAAGCGAGCGCAGGCGGUUUUUUAAGUCUGAUGUGAAAGCCUUCGGCUUAACCGGAGAAGUGCAUCGGAAACUGGGAGACUUGAGUGCAGAAGAGGACAGUGGAACUCCAUGUGUAGCGGUGAAAUGCGUAGAUAUAUGGAAGAACACCAGUGGCGAAGGCGGCUGUCUGGUCUGUAACUGACGCUGAGGCUCGAAAGCAUGGGUAGCGAACAGGAUUAGAUACCCCUGUAGUC
rnacentral:rRNA from 1 species